UUCGCCCUUAGAGUUUGAUCCUGGCUCAGGACGAACGCUGGCGGCGUGCUUAACACAUGCAAGUCGAACGAGAAUCUGUGGAUCGAGGAUUCGUCCAAGUGAAGCAGAGGACAGUGGCGGACGGGUGAGUAACGCGUGAGGAACCUGCCUUUCAGAGGGGGACAACAGUUGGAAACGACUGCUAAUACCGCAUGAUACAUUUGGGUGGCAUCAUCUGAAUGUCAAAGAUUUAUCGCUGAAAGAUGGCCUCGCGUCUGAUUAGCUAGUUGGUGAGGUAACGGCCCACCAAGGCGACGAUCAGUAGCCGGACUGAGAGGUUGACCGGCCACAUUGGGACUGAGAUACGGCCCAGACUCCUACGGGAGGCAGCAGUGGGGAAUAUUGGGCAAUGGGCGCAAGCCUGACCCAGCAACGCCGCGUGAAGGAAGAAGGCUUUCGGGUUGUAAACUUCUUUUAAGAGGGAAGAGCAGAAGACUGUACCUCUAGAAUAAGCCACGGCUAACUACGUGCCAGCAGCCGCGGUAAUACGUAGGUGGCAAGCGUUGUCCGGAUUUACUGGGUGUAAAGGGCGUGCAGCCGGGAAUGCAAGUCAGAUGUGAAAUCCAUGGGCUUAACCCAUGAACUGCAUUUGAAACUGUAUUUCUUGAGUACUGGAGAGGCAAUCGGAAUUCCUAGUGUAGCGGUGAAAUGCGUAGAUAUUAGGAGGAACACCAGUGGCGAAGGCGGAUUGCUGGACAGCAACUGACGGUGAGGCGCGAAAGUGUGGGGAGCAAACAGGAUUAGAUACCCUGGUAGUCCACACUGUAAACGAUGAAUACUAGGUGUGCGGGGACUGACCCCUUCAGUGCCGCAGUUAACACAAUAAGUAAUCCACCUGGGGAGUACGACCGCAAGGUUGAAACUCAAAGGAAUUGACGGGGGCCCGCACAAGCAGUGGAGUAUGUGGUUUAAUUCGAAGCAACGCGAAGAACCUUACCAGGUCUUGACAUCCGAUGCAUAUCACAGAGAUGUGUGAAGUCCUUCGGGACAUCGAGACAGGUGGUGCAUGGUUGUCGUCAGCUCGUGUCGUGAGAUGUUGGGUUAAGUCCCGCAACGAGCGCAACCCUUAUUGCCAGUUACUACGAAAGAGGACUCUGGCGAGACUGCCGUUGACAAAACGGAGGAAGGUGGGGAUGACGUCAAAUCAUCAUGCCCUUUAUGACCUGGGCUACACACGUACUACAAUGGCGUUUAACAAAGAGAAGCAAGACCGCGAGGUGGAGCAAAACUCAAAAACAACGUCUCAGUUCAGAUUGCAGGCUGCAACUCGCCUGCAUGAAGUCGGAAUUGCUAGUAAUCGCGGAUCAGCAUGCCGCGGUGAAUACGAUGCCGGGCCUUGCACACACCGCCGGUCA
rnacentral:rRNA from 1 species